UUUAAACAUGAGAGUUUGAUCUUGGCUCAGGACGAACGCUGGCGGCAUGCCUAAUACAUGCAAGUCGAACGAUGAUAUCACUGCUUGCAGUGAUUGAUUAGUGGCGAACGGGUGAGUAACACGUGAGGAACUUGCCCAUGAGCGGGGGACAACAUUCGGAAACGGAUGCUAAUACCCCAUAGGUGGAUUGGUCGCAUGACUAAUUCAUUAAAGGUGGCUCUGCUACCACUCAUGGAUAGCCUCGCGGCGUAUUAGCUAGUUGGUAAGGUAAUGGCUUACCAAGGCAGUGAUACGUAGCCGACUUGAGAGGGUGAUCGGCCACACUGGGACUGAGACACGGCCCAGACUCCUACGGGAG
rnacentral:rRNA from 1 species